rnacentral:rRNA from 1 species
UGAGUGCGAGCUGCUACGGCAGCGAAGUUGGUGACGUCAAGCUUCCAAGAAAAGCCCUAUACCCGUUAAGGCAUCAUGGCCUGUACCCGAAACCGACACAGGUGGGGUGGUAGAGAAUACCGAGGGGCGCGAGGUAACUCUCUCUAAGGAACUCGGCAAAAUGGCCCCGUAACUUCGGGAGAAGGGGUGCCACCGCAAGGUGGUCGCAGUGAAGAGGCCCAGGCGACUGUUUACCAAAAACACAGGUCUCCGCUAAGUCGCAAGACGAUGUAUGGGGGCUGACGCCUGCCCAGUGCCGGAAGGUUAAGGAAGCUGGUCAGCGCAAGCGAAGCUGGCGACUGAAGCCCCGGUGAACGGCGGCCGUAACUAUAACGGUCCUAAGGUAGCGAAAUUCCUUGUCGGGUAAGUUCCGACCCGCACGAAAGGCGUAACGAUCUGGGCGCUGUCUCGGAGAGAGGCUCGGCGAAAUAGAAUUGUCUGUGAAGAUGCGGACUACGUGCACCCGGACAGAAAGACCCUAUGAAGCUUUACUGUAGCUUGGUAUUGUGCCCGGGCUCUGAAUGCGCAGGAUAGGUGGGAGGCUUUGAUCAUCGGCUUGCGGGUCGAUGUGAGCCAACGGUGAGAUACCACUCUUUCAGAGCUAGGGUUCUAACAGUCACCCGUUAUCCGGGGACUGGACAGUAUCAGGUGGGCAGUUUGACUGGGGCGGUCGCCCCCUAAAAGGUAACGGAGGCGCGCAAAGGUCUGCUCAGGCUGGUUGGAAAUCAGCCGACGAGUGUAAAAGCAGAAGCAGGCUUGACUGUGAGACCUACAAGUCGAACAGGGAGGAAACUCGGCUUUAGUGAUCCGACGGUUCUGCGUGGAAGGGCCGUCGCUCAACGGAUAAAAGUUACUCUAGGAUAACAGGCUGAUCUCCCCCAAGAGUUCACAUCGACGGGGAGGUUUGGCACCUCGAUGUCGGCUCAUCGCAACCUGGGGCUGAAGUCGGUCCCAAGGGUUGGGCUGUUCGCCCAUUAAAGCGGUACGCGAGCUGGGUUCAGAACGUCGUGAGACAGUUCGGUCCAUAUCCGGUGCAUGCGCAGGAAUAUUGAGAGGAGUUCUCCCUAGUACGAGAGGACCGGGAGGAACGCACCUCUGGUGUACCAGUUAUCGUGCCAACGGUAAACGCUGGGUAGCCAUGUGCGGAGAGGAUAACCGCUGAAAGCAUCUAAGUGGGAAGCCCACCUCAAGAUGAGUAUUCCCAUGGCGUUAGCCAGUAAGGUCACGGGAAGAACACCCGUUGAUAGGCUCUAUGUGGAAGCGCAGUAAUGCGUGAAGCAGAGGAGUACUAAUAGACCGAGGGCUUGACCC